CCCGCCGUCAGUCGAACUAAGUAGACCUUACGUCGAUUUAUCGUUAACAACGCAUGAUUUUGCCAUUUGCACAAAUAUUGUAAAAAUGCGCGGUCGAGCCGCGCACAGUCAACACAAUUUUUGAUGAAACAGCUACAAGCUAGAGCCAAUAUACUCUGCAAGCUUUUCAGUCAGCCUCUUCCACAUACCAGGCAGCAUUAAUUUGCAUUACCUCUUCCACAAGUACUCCACUCAAAAAUUAGAUUUCUAGAGCUCAAUCUAGGAUCAUUUCUUUGUGCACUGUUUCAAAACGCGAUCGUACGCUACCUUUUGUUCGCAGUUUUUUACCUUCUGUUCACAGCUUUUUUAAAAAUUUGUUAUUCAUUGUGUAUUGGCAUAUUUGUUAUAUGCUUUUUAUUGUUCAUGAAGUUGAUGACAUGAGCAUAUUAUUGUCAUGUUUUGUUGAUCGUGCAAAUUUUAAAUUGCUUUAUUAUACUAUACUUCUCCGGUUUUAGAAAAUGGAUUCUGUGAAUUCUAAUAAAGAUACACGCCCUCAUAUUGAGCUAAAUACUCUUUUCGAGACAGGAGCAUGAUUAACCAAUGGAUCGUUUGACAUUUCUACCGUCAGUACCAAUCUGCUCAGCAACUCCUUUUCUAACAACCAUCAUAUGGCCAUCGGUAUAUAGGACGACCUCAUAAGACCUUUCCGGACAUCCUACAAGAUCAGAAGAUACUGGAUUGCAAUCUGAUAAGGUUCGUUGGCUCAUGAGUGAUAGAGAUAAAUGGAGAGAAGCGCUGUCACGAAACUGGAAACUCGUUCCAGACUUCAUCGACCUAGGCAGGGACGUACUAAAGAGAAGAAAUUAACGAGGUCAGCGAUAUGAAGAAGACUGAAAGUAAAAAUGUGCGACUGUGCGUACUAAAUCACUCAACACUCAAAUUUUAAGAUUUUGAAAACUGUCUCGACCACUUGAUAUGACGUGGUAGCCUGUGAGCGUGUAGACCGCUCCUCUUUCAUUUUUUUGAGUAGCCGAUCCAAAACCAAAACCUGUGACCUGGGUUUACAUGAGACGUGGGAGCCUGUGAGCGUGUUAGUUUCUCAAAAAUAUGUCGGAGGAGGGGAUAGAAUAUAUGCAAAAAGAUGUCCGAAAUAUAAGGAGUUCCCGGUCUUGGCUUGGAAACUACGUCAAAAAUCUGGGCCAGACACUAGAAACAUCGAUUUUGCGUGGCGAUCUGUUCCUAAAUCACAUUGUUGAAGGAAUUCCUAGAGCAAGUACUAAGGAGGGACGAUAUAAUAACGGCAAACGAAAAAAGAUCAAGUCUCUAUAUCCAGCCGACAUUAUAAGUUCCUCGGAGUUAGGCGGGCUAAAUUUCUUGAAAAAAGUCAUUAUAGGAUUUACAGAAAUCAGCGAUGGAGAAGACUGAAAGUAAAGAUGUACAUUGUACGUGCUAUGUCAUUCAACACUCGAAUUUUAACAUUUUUAAAACUGUCUCGACCACUUGAUAUGAUAUUCUAAGAAUCUGAUAUUUCAUUGCAUGCUUUAGUUAGGAGUCUUCUUUCUCGGAGUAUGUAGCUGAUAUCUUAAAACAUAGAUAUCAGCUACAGACUCCGAGAGUCUUGAAGCUCUGUUACCACCACCCCUGGUGCAAUUCCGUCGGGUUAAAGACGGAGAGACAGGAACUCUCAGGGAAGGUCAUGGCCUGCUACGUGCAACUCGUAGUCGUAUGUAGUGUUCCUGGUAGGUGUUACUUAUAAAUCUGGUUAACGGGAUCUUCAAACAGUUGAUACACAGUUGUCUAGGUACUGUCAUGUCUAAGCGGAAACUUGUCUCUGGCCCUCACCUAUGGGUUUAUAUCUCAAACCACACAGUGUCCAUGUCCUGCUCCUGAAUAUUUCCAUAUUUUUGAACUGCAGUCCAUUAAUAUUGCUAAAAGUAAAAGUGAUUUCAACUACUAUACCUUUAAACCUGUAACGUCACUGUAGACCGCUCCUAUAUCCUUGCUUCCAGUUUCCGAUCCAGAACUAAAUCCUGGCUUAUACUAAACGUGGUCAGUGGUAGCCUGUGAGGGUGUAGACCGCUCCUCUAUUGUUUUAUGUUUAUCUAUAUCGGUAUUUUGAUUGUCCGAUCCAAAACUAAAUCCUGGGUUUCCAAGAGACGUGGUAGCCUGUAAGCGUGUAGACCGCUCUUUUAUCUUUGUUUUGAGUGUCCGAUCUAAAACCAAAACCUGGGGUCGGUUACAUGAAACGUGGGAGCCUGUGAGGGCGUUAGUUUCCUGCGAAAGGAGUUAUUUGCUCAUACUUGUGCAUUGUGGAAAGAGCAUGGUUAUGCUCUAAGGCUAGUAGAGGUUAUUACAUCCUUUCCUUUGUUGUAAAGAUGGCUAGUCUCUUUCUUCACCUACGCAUAUAUGAUAUAAGAUCGCGCGCGUUCCGCGCAUUUUGUUCAAUUUAAAGUCAAUAUUGUAAACAAAUAAGUAUAAUUCGUAUAACUUUGAUUAACGUUUUGGUUACGAAUAUUUUACUGCCGAUCAUUAAAACUUUGACUGUAUUGUUAUUUAGACAAUUUCUGAUCAUUUCGUGUAAAUAUGCCCAAAUACUUUUACUUAGUUAAAAUGUUAUGAUCAAAACAAAAUGGAAGACUUUUACUUGUUUUAAAAUGCACUUAACUCUAUUUACAGUUAAGCUAGAAAUUUCAAAAUUGCUAGAUAAUGA